rnacentral:RNase_P_RNA from 1 species
UGAGGAAAGUCCGGGCUCCAUAGAGCAAUGAUGCUGGAUAACGUCCAGUGAGGGAAACCUUAAGGAAAGUGCAACAGAAAAUAACAGCCCUAGUACUUAGGUACUAGAGCAAUGGUGAAAAGGCGAGGUAAGAGCUCACCGCUAGCAUGGUGACAUGCUUAGGUCAAUGUAAACCCCAUCUGGAGCAACACCUAAAAAGAAGGCUAAGGCUGCUCGCCAUCUUCUGAAAUGGUGGCUUGAGACAUAUAGUAAUAUAUGUUCGAGAUAAAUGACUGUCCACGACAGAACCCGGCUUAUAGAUGUGCUUG